UAUUGUCUAUUUUUAAAUUGACAACGCAGUCAAAUAAAGCAGCUUUUGCUCUUUAUUUAUUUGUUUUUUUAUAUAAUGAGCAUAUCACCCGGUGCACCAGCAGAUUUUUCCUUCAAUGGGAUUCGGCACUUGGAUUCCGAAAAAUUUCUCUCAGGAACAUUGAAAAGAUCGCAGUCAGGCAUACGAAAAUCAUUUUCAGAGCUUUUUCUGUUAUUAGAAUUGCACACAUUUGUCAUGCAAUAAAGUCCAAGCCAUUGGUCUGGAAGGAGUCCGGUACACUCGAGUGGGUGGCGUUCCGGAUAGAGGCCCGGAAAAGCGAUUUCUUACAAAAUCGCUCUGGUUGAACAACAAUAAACUGAAGAGUACGAGAAAUAUUCACGAGUUGGUAAAUGCCACAAUCGAGUAUCCGGCCCAACUUGGAUGGAUAGAUUUCUCGUUUAAUUACAUAACCGAAAUUGAAGAACAGAGCCUGCUGAAGUUUCCAAAGCUAACCAUAUUGUACUUUCAUGGAAACUGUAUCAACGACUUGAACGAAGUGUAUAAAUUGCGGCCGCUAACAGAAUUGCGAAGUGUAACAUUUCAUGGCAAUCCAAUAGCGAAUCAUCCUCGAUACAGAAACUACGUGGUCUCUGUUCUACCUCAAAUAGUAAAUUUAGAUUUCACACCCAUUGUUAAAACCGAGAAAUUGUUCGCCAUGCCGCCGGAGGUUAUAAAGAAGUUUAAAGAAGAAAAAGAAAAACAGAAGGCGGAGACUGAGAAGCGCAAACCACAACCUGCUGAAGUAAAUCCUUGAUCUCAUCUGUAUUUUACUUAUAUCAUUAAAGUCCUUAUUCUAA